UUUGUCCGGCGCCAGGAAAUUGGACAAAUUUUGGAAAUAAUAGUGUUUCUUCUUCUCUUUUUUUCCCCUCCCUUGUGUCAUCAAUCAUGUUCUUGUACAGUGCCUCCGUAGGAUUUUGACAUCAUAUUAAUGAUAAUCCCCUAUGGAUUUGAAAUCAUAUCGUCUACUUUCUCAGUGCAUAUGGCGUGCCGCUGCUAAUUCUCUACUUUUAUAUUCGUUUGCUGUGUGCUUGCGAUGUGCACUUGAUCUGCAAGUUACAAAAGUCGCAACCGUCAACUCAACUGAUUCUGCAACCACCGAAUGAAAAGCGUUCCAAUGGCUUUACAGUGGGGCCACUCCGUGGGGCCCACGUCCUCCUCUUGUACUCAUGCGACGCUGACGUUUCGUCCUCAUGAACAAAUCUCUAUCGUUGAUUUUCUCCCUUAUCUUUAGUGUUUAGACAAGGAAACAGUCUCUUUCUCAAACCUGCUGCUGAUUCGAAGAAACUGGCAACCCAAACACAUGCAAGGAGUCGGCAUUCUUGCUGGUCAAAAGACGAGAUAAGGCAGAAUGCUUAAGGCCAAGUGAUACAGAUUGUGGAGUGUGGCAUUUAGCAACACUGUCAAGGACAGAAAACACGUUCGUGGUUGAGCUCCAGAUGUCGGUUGGUUGUCUCCGGAGAUAACAACUCGAGCCAGACCAUGUGAAAGAAAAUAACAAGAAAAUGAAAUUACUGCUGCUUGCUACUUCCUAACUCAAAUUCUCAUAACUGAGGAACGGAGCAGGCUCCGGAUGAUCUCAGCCUCGGCGCUGUUGGUGUCGACGGUCUCCAUGAGCGCGGAGAGUCGGUCGCUGAGGUCGUCCACCUCCCUGUUCAGGCUCCGGAUGUAGUUGCAGGUCUCCUUGAGUAACUUGGCUGCCGACGCCUGCACAAGAGCACAACUCAAGCUAUCAAUAUCUGAAAAAGCUAUUAAAUCCCUUUUUCAUAUAUGCAAUGAGAAUGCAGUGGAUUUAACAAGUACAAUGCCAAUUAAAGUUGAUGUCAGAAACCCGAACAGAAGAGGAAAAUCAAGCAUCACUUGAAGGCCUUUACCAAUGACCAUCAUCUUCAAAUCCUGUUUCAUCUGAAAAGCUCUUGAAAAAAAAGAGACAGGGAAAAAAAAGGUAGAAAACCUUUGGGGAGGAAGAGGAAAGAGAAAAGACUUAGAUCUAGCUAAUACUUUAAUAGUGGACUGAUCAGUAAGAAAGGAGCAGAAAGUGUCAAAUAACUUUUGACCACACCAUUAGACCUGGAAAAUAGAGUUCGCGACUUGCACACACAAUUUAAAAUCACUGUAUUGCAAAAUCUUUCUCAACGGACCACUGCAAGAUCUGAUGGUCCACUUGCUGUCCAGAACUGAUAGUGCUAUACUGCUUCAUCAAACUUGGGAGAAAUUGUUGCUGUGUUGCUUAGAUAACUGAGCCCUAACCUUCACGUCAUCUUUUAUAAUGUUCAACUGAGUUCGAUGCCUGAGAAUUGUCGAAUAUGAAACUUGAAGGUCUACUGUAUUGCUUAUAGUUUGGUCUAGCUAGGUGAAAUAAUGAUGGUUUGUGUCCAAUUGGUUUGAUCGAUUAACUUGAUUGUCUAAUGCCAGUCAUUUUGAUCCAAAAAGUAGUAUGCAUUAUACUCAAGUGCUCCUUUAAUUGUGUCAGUAUUGAGAAAUGACAAGGCUGUGAAUUGACAAACGAAGAAGAGGAAAAUCAACAAAGGAGGGAACCCCUAGAUUGAUUAGUGAUACGGUAAAUAAGGUGGGCUCCGAGUCAGGGUUGAAGUUAAGAAGGCCGAUUAAUUUAGCAGUCAAAGUCAAAAAGGAGUCAACAUUUGGGAUUAGCAGAGUCAUUUGGUUCGACUAAGUAGUCUAGUUGAUUCGACCACUGGGUCGAUUGGACGCCGAGUCAAUAGAGUCGACGAAAUCUCGAGCUGUAUCAAUGACAUUUAGAGAUGAUUCAUGUGCCUCUGCCAAGUGCUCUGGCUGAUCGGACCAAAGGUUCGAUCGGACAUGCUGGACACUUGGCCCAACCAGAUCAGACUCUUUACACAAGUGUGAAGGCUAAGCAUCGACCGAGUCCUUAAGAGUAACACUCAUCCUUUAUUCCACCCGAUUGUGCCCGCAAACAAGAGUCGAUCGGACUACAAAGGAGAAUCGGUCUGCCGACCAACCUAUCCAAUAAGCAUAUAGGUGGCUCACAUACUCAAUAACUUAAUAUUCCUUCUUGGCAUUUUGUGUAAUGAUUGUUAGAGAAUCAAUGAAAUAUUCCCUGUGCAGUUUAUGUGAGGUGCUUCUACACUACGAAACCCAGAAAUGAUGGGUCAAUUUUUGAAAAGUUGUCAAAAUGACAGGACUUGCCCAUUUUUGGUAAUGCCUCGAGAUUUGUGUAGAGAGUAAAAUUAACACUAUAACGAGGGUCUCCAUCUAUAAGCACACGUACGUUACAUUAUGCGACGUAACCUAAGGCACCUAGAUUCCAUUAUUCUCCACUACUAUUCAUUGCAUUUUCUCUCGGACGCCUGUUUGACUUGAGCAUCAAAUUGUCUACGUCGGGGACCUUUCCCUGGCCUGGUUGCUGACCUUCUUUUCCUCUAAUUUUUGUUUUUGACACGCAGGAUCACACAACAUCUUCUAUUUCUAGCACAGAGUCUUUUCACAAUCAAUUUCAGAGCCACGUGCCCAUUGUUUUAUCUUCCCCGAUUUCAGACAUGAUCAAAUUUGGUGUCGUCUGCGGAAAUUUUAACUUGAAUCUGAAACGCGGAGAUGAAAGAGACUGAACGACUUACUACAGUUACUUUAUUGUAAGAAGACUUGGAGUUGUUAAUAGACGUUCAAGCGUAGAGAUUGGUACAAUAAUAACAAGCAACAGUCGGGUGUCCAUUGUCAAAUGACUUGGAUGCAUCAAUGACUGACCCUCAUAACAAGCGAAGGACCCAAGUGGAAGGGUCGACUGGGUUCCCCCCGCUCCUCCUCCUCUAGUGGAAACUAUUUGCAAUCUUAUCGAGCUUGAGGGCAUGCUUGUAUGACAUAAAUAUAUGCAUCUUGUCGAGUAUUCGUGCUCAAUGAAAAUGCAAUCAAACUCCACUCAAAAUGCCCAUAUAUUCUAGACUCUCGUGUCGUUUGGUCGAAUUAUAAGUGAAUUUGCUCUCAUAUCUAAGUUCCAGACUUGCGUGUCAUUCGACUAAAUUAUAAUCGAGCUUGCUCUUGCGCUUAUGUCCCAGACUCUAGCAUCAUUCGGCCGAGUUAUAAGCGAGCUUGCUCUUGCGCCUAAGUUCCAAACUCUCGUGUUGUUCGACCGAGUUAU